UACGUAGGUGGCAAGCGUUGUCCGGAUUUACUGGGCGUAAAGGGCGUGCAGGCGGUUUGUUAAGUCUAGGGUGAAAGCUCCCGGCUCAACUGGGAGAGGUCCUUGGAUACUGGCAGACUUGAGGAGGGUAGAGGAGAGUGGAAUUUCCGGUGUAGCGGUGAAAUGCGUAGAUAUCGGAAGGAACAUCAGUGGCGAAAGCGGCUUCCUGGACCAGUACCGACGUUCAGGCACGAAAGCGUGGGGAGCAAACAGG
rnacentral:rRNA from 1 species